rnacentral:rRNA from 1 species
GAUGAACGCUGGCGGCGUGCCUAAUACAUGCAAGUCGAGCGAACAGACGAGGAGCUUGCUCCUCUGACGUUAGCGGCGGACGGGUGAGUAACACGUGGAUAACCUACCUAUAAGACUGGGAUAACUUCGGGAAACCGGAGCUAAUACCGGAUAAUAUAUUGAACCGCAUGGUUCAAUAGUGAAAGACGGUUUUGCUGUCACUUAUAGAUGGAUCCGCGCCGCAUUAGCUAGUUGGUAAGUUAACGGCUUACCAAGGGGAGCAUGCGUAGCCGACGUGAGAGGGUGAUCGGCCACCCUGGAGCUGAGACGCGGUCCAGACUCCUACGAGAGGCAGCAGUAGGGAAUCUUCCGCAGUGGGCGAAAGCAUGACGGAGCAACGCCGCGUGAGAGAUGAAGGUCUUCGGAUCGUAAAACUCUGUUAUUAGGGAAGAACAAAUGUGUAAGUAACUAUGCACGUCUUGACGGUACCUAAUCAGAAAGCCACGGCUAACUACGUG